AACGAACGCUGGCGGCAUGCCUAAUACAUGCAAGUCGAACGAUCACUUCGGUGGUAGUGGCGCACGGGUGCGUAACGCGUGGGAAUCUGCCCUUGGGUUCGGAAUAACAUCGGGAAACUGAUGCUAAUACCGGAUGAUGACGUAAGUCCGAAGAUUUAUCGCCCAGGGAUGAGCCCGCGUAGGAUUAGGUAGUUGGUGGGGUAAAGGCCUACCAAGCCUACGAUCCUUAGCUGGUCUGAGAGGAUGAUCAGCCACACUGGGACUGAGACACGGCCCAGACUCCUACGGGAGGCAGCAGUAGGGAAUAUUGGACAAUGGGGGCAACCCUGAUCCAGCAAUGCCGCGUGAGUGAUGAAGGCCUUAGGGUUGUAAAGCUCUUUUACCCGGGAUGAUAAUGACAGUACCGGGAGAAUAAGCCCCGGCUAACUCCGUGCCAGCCGCCGCCGUAA
rnacentral:rRNA from 1 species